ACAACGUAUUUGGACGUAAAUGACUUUCUCUUAUCACAUGAGGUGUAGAAUACACAUCCAAAUUUAGCAAGGAAUCUCUAUAUUGAAUGAUUCACAAUCAAUAGUAUUACUCGGAACUUAGAAAGUCGUCUUUUUGAAGAUUCAAGAAAUUACAGGACUUGGAGAAAACUUUGUAAUCCUCCCCUGUUCCUUUAAUUGACAUAGACCCAGCCAU
rnacentral:tRNA from 1 species